rnacentral:rRNA from 1 species
UACGAAGGGGGCUAGCGUUGCUCGGAAUUACUGGGCGUAAAGCGCACGUAGGCGGCUUUCUAAGUCGGGGGUGAAAUCCUGGAGCUCAACUCCAGAACUGCCUUCGAUACUGGAGAGCUCGAGUCCGGGAGAGGUGGGUGGAACUGCGAGUGUAGAGGUGAAAUUCGUAGAUAUUCGCAAGAACACCAGUGGCGAAGGCGGCUCACUGGCCCGGUACUGACGCUGAGGUGCGAAAGCGUGGGGAGCAAACAGG